rnacentral:rRNA from 1 species
CGGGGAGCACCACAACAGGUGGAGCCUGCGGUUUAAUCGGACUCAACGCCGGGAAACUCACCAGAUAAGACAGCUGAAUGAUAGCCGGGCUGAAGACUCUGCUUGACUAGCUGAGAGGAGGUGCAUGGCCGUCGUCAGUUCGUACUGUGAAGCAUCCUGUUAAGUCAGGCAACGAGCGAGACCCACGCCAACAGUUGCCAGCUCGUCCUCCGGGAUGGUGGGGACACUGUUGGGACCGCCUCUGCUAAAGAGGAGGAAGGAAUGGGCAACGGUAGGUCAGCAUGCCCCGAAUUAUCUGGGCUACACGCGGGCUACAAUGGGUGGGACAAUGGGUAUCGACACCGAAAGGUGAAGGCAAUCUCCUAAACCCAUCCGUAGUUCGGAUUGUGGGCUGCAACUCGCCCACAUGAAGCUGGAAUCUGUAGUAAUCGUGUCUCAAAAUGGCACGGUGAAUAUGUCCCUGCUCCUU